GUAGAAGAACUGUGACGAUUAAUUGGCGAGGCAGCCCUUCUAUAUAUUCUCUCUCUCUCUCUCUCUCUCUCGUCGGGCGUAGCGUCCAUGGCGAACUGUUCGGGCUGCGGAGGCAGGAGGGUGAUCGUGGACCCGGACUCGGGCGACCGCGUGUGCGGCUCCUGCGGCCGCGUCCUCUCCACCGAGCACUACCGCCAUGAGGCCUUCACCUCGGAGGGUCAGCCCACCAGCUUCCUCCACUCCACCGGCGGCGACUUUGGCUACCGCGAGCGCAAGCUGCACCACGCCCGCGCCCUCAUCGCCGAUCUCACCGCGCGCCUCGGCCUCUCGGCCGCCCGCGCCGCCGAGGCCGGGGCCCUGGCGUCCGAUGUCACCGACGGCGCCCUCGGCGACGGUCAGUGGUUCCCCGUACUCGUCGCCGCCUGCUCGUACCUCGUUUCUCGCCGCCAUCGCCUCCCCCUUUCCCUGUCGGAGGCCGCCGCCGCCGUAGGGCAUGAUGCCUGCGAUCUCGGCCGCAUGGCCGCCCGCGUCGCCCGCCACCUCGGCCUCCCGCCGCUCCCUGAGUUUGACGCCGCUGGCGUUCUCGAUCGCGUGGUCCGCACCUGCCCUUGCUUCUCGGCGGUGGAUCCCGAGAAGUCGAAGGAGUUGAUUGGCCAGGGUCGGUUUCUCCUCCACUGCGCCACCAAAUGGUUCCUCACCACCGGGCGCCAGCCGCUGCCGAUGGUAGCCGCCGUCCUCGCCUUCGUUGCCGAAGUGAAUGGGGUCGGAGUCUCGGUGGAGGAGAUCGCGAAGGAGAUCUACGCUGGGGUAACUACGAGCAAGCUCCGGCUCAAGGAGCUCAUGGAGACGCUCGUUAGGGUUGCAAGAUCCUUGCUUCCCUGGGGUAAGGACGUCACAGUCAAGAACGUAGUGCAAAACGCCCCUUUGCUGAUUCGCUUGAUGGAAAGGAAGUCAAAAUCCGCCCUUUCUGAGGGUCUAGGGUUCGGCUUUGGUGGUCUUACCGGACCUUAUCAAGACGGCGAGGCGGAAGAUUCCAAGUAUUUCGAGAUCGAUGGUGAAGAAGAUGGCAACGCCAACUGCAACAUUCUGGAGGACGUCAAUCUCUCAGGGGAGUGCAUUUCAAGUGCUUACAAGAAUGUCUUGCAAAGAAUCUCCCAUCUAAAGGAAAUUGGAGAGUUUGAUAAGGUCCAAGUGAAGAAGGCAAGGAAAGACCAGUUGGAUUUUGUUGCAUUGCAGGAUUCAUGGGAAGGAAGAUGGGAUUCAGAAAAAAAAUUAACACUCGAGCAAAUGUUGGAGCGAGAUGUAGGUUAUGAUGCUCUGCCACCAUCUUUUGUUACUGGUGUGCAGGCCAGGAGAUUCAGGAAAGCCAAGAUCGAAGCAGCUAAGCGUCGGAUUCAUAAGAUUAUGAAGCCAUCAUCCUCUGUAGAUGCAGUUGGCAAGGUGGAGGAUUGUCUCCCGGGGGAGGAGGUGGUGGGUAGGAAAAGGAGGUCAAGGAAGAAGCUCCAAGUGGAUAGUCUUGAUUGGGAGGACUGCAUAAUUGAACUUUUGCUUCUUCAUCAAGUGAAUGAGGAUGACAUAGAGCAAGGUCAGUAUAACAGAUUGCUCGACCUGCAUGUCUUCUGUUCAUAGAGCACUGAAAGAUGAGGACCAAAUGGUUUUUGCCGGUAGGAUUGAAUAUUGAGGUUCCCCUGCCAAUUUACAAGUUGAACAUGCAAGGCGAAUGGAACAUGCAAACCAAGAAGACGGACCAUGGAGAGUGUUGCAGAGCCAGCUCCAGCUUUGGCCUGCG